rnacentral:tRNA from 1 species
ACUUAUUUAAUAUAAUUAGUAUAAUUGACUUCCAAUCAAAAAGUUUGACUAUCAAAAUAAGUA